GACGUAGGGGGCGAGCGUUGUCCGGAUUCAUUGGGCGUAAAGCGCGCGUAGGCGGCCCGGUAAGUCGGAUGUGAAAUCUCACGGCUCAACCGUGGAACUGCAUUCGAAACUGUCGGGCUAGAGGCAGGUAGGGGAGAUCGGAAUUCCCGGUGUAGCGGUGAAAUGCGCAGAUAUCUGGAGGAACACCGGUGGCGAAGGCGGCAUCCUGGACCGAGAUUGACGCUGAGGCGCGAAAGCCAGGGGAGCAAACGGG
rnacentral:rRNA from 1 species